rnacentral:rRNA from 1 species
ACGCUCGACACCUACGGGAGGACAGCAGUGGGGAAUAUUGCACAAUGGAGGAAACUCUGAUGCAGCGAUGCCGCGUGAGGGAAGAAGGUUUUCGGAUUGUAAACCUCUGUCUUUGGGGACGAUAAUGACGGUACCCAAGGAGGAAGCUCCGGCUAACUACGUGCCAGCAGCCGCGGUAAUCUGAGCGGGCUGGCAAGGC